AUUGAUAGGCCACUGUUGUAAAAGAUGAAAUGAUAAAUGGACUGUGGAGUAGUUGGUGGGCAGAGAGAAAAGCAAAUGCUCUUGUUUUAUCUGUAAAAAGAUGUGGGUGUCAGAACAUGGAAAUGCAUCUAUUUGACAGACCUGAAGCAGUUUACUGUCUGCUAAGGUUUCCACUCAGAUGCAAGAAAAACAUCCUCGCGCUUUCUGCCUGUCUGAUUGUGGCAGCCCAGAUUGAAUGGGGGAACACAGGGCAAAACUUGGAACCCUACAACCAGGUGACACCAAGAGUCCAUGGUACGGUGCAGAGCCUCAGAAGAAAUUUUCUCUGGAUUUUGUUCGAUCUGUGGAAUCAGGUUCUAGUGGUGCCUGUGCCUGAAGCCUCUUCCUCCGCCCCCUCCCCAUCUGCCUGCAUUCACGCCUGGGGGGAGGAUGGGAGAGUCAUCGCUAAGGCUGUGAGAAUGACUCAUUUGAUGGAAUGACCGAUAGAGAAUUCCCACAGGGUUAUUCACCAAGAGGGUGUGUCCAAAUUGCCAG
rnacentral:lncRNA from 1 species